UCUGAGGUGGCUCAGAUGGUAAAGCGUCUGCCUGCAAUGCAGGAGAUCCGGGUUCGAUCCCUGGGUUGGGAA
rnacentral:tRNA from 1 species